rnacentral:rRNA from 1 species
UAGGAUUUUUUGAUUCUGCUCAGGAUGAACGCUGGCGGCGUGCUAAUACAUGCAAGUCGAACGCUUUGUGGUUCAACUGAUUGAAGAGCUUGCUCAGAUAUGACGAUGGACAUUGCAAAGAGUGGCGAACGGGUGAGUAACACGUGGGAAACCUACCUCUUAGCAGGGGAUAACAUUUGGAAACAGAUGCUAAUACCGUAUAACAAUAGCAACCGCAUGGUUGCUACUUAAAAGAUGGUUCUGCUAUCACUAAGAGAUGGUCCCGCGGUGCAUUAGUUAGUUGGUGAGGUAAUGGCUCACCAAGACGAUGAUGCAUAGCCGAGUUGAGAGACUGAUCGGCCACAAUGGGACUGAGACACGGCCCAUACUCCUACGGGAGGCAGCAGUAGGGAAUCUUCCACAAUGGGCGAAAGCCUGAUGGAGCAACGCCGCGUGUGUGAUGAAGGGUUUCGGCUCGUAAAACACUGUUGUAAGAGAAGAAUGACAUUGAGAGUAACUGUUCAAUGUGUGACGGUAUCUUACCAGAAAGGAACGGCUAAAUACGUGCCAGCAGCCGCGGUAAUACGUAUGUUCCAAGCGUUAUCCGGAUUUAUUGGGCGUAAAGCGAGCGCAGACGGUUAUUUAAGUCUGAAGUGAAAGCCCUCAGCUCAACUGAGGAAUUGCUUUGGAAACUGGAUGACUUGAGUGCAGUAGAGGAAAGUGGAACUCCAUGUGUAGCGGUGAAAUGCGUAGAUAUAUGGAAGAACACCAGUGGCGAAGGCGGCUUUCUGGACUGUAACUGACGUUGAGGCUCGAAAGUGUGGGUAGCAAACAGGAUUAGAUACCCUGGUAGUCCACACCGUAAACGAUGAGUGCUAGGUGUUUGAGGGUUUCCGCCCUUAAGUGCCGCAGCUAACGCAUAAGCACUCCG